rnacentral:lncRNA from 1 species
CUCGAAUUACAGAGCCGGCAAUUAGAAACUUAUUUUUAAACGUAAACACAACUCCCGAUUAGCGCGGAACUCCUCUCUCUCUAGUCGUAUAAGGUUAUGUUGGGACUCAUUCGGUCAGAUGGCACCGCUUACAAUAAGUCUCACAAAGCGGCGCUACUAGUCGCAAAUCUCCGCAAAAUUAUACAAGGGCCGAGCACCAUUGAUUCCGGUACAAAUUCAGUUAAAAAAAAAAGAUAUGUUCCUCAUGUAACUCUUGAUGUUCGUCAUAAUGCUCGUCUCACAAUCACUUCCAUUAAUAAAUCAAACCGUCUGAACUAAUAUAUCGAUUGGGGGUUGAAUACUCUUCAUCACAUUCAUUUAAUAUAUUAAACAGACAAGUCCUUUAUUAAACUUUAGUAACACCCAAUUAUCCACAUUGUUCGAUUCAUCAAACUUUUACUCAGUCUUUCCGUUCCGUCAAGGAUUUCAUGGUCCUUUCAGCAGAUCAUGACGAGCAAGUAUUAUAUCAUCCCCGUGCCGACACUUUGCACAGCUCCCGAGAGUACCACCCGAUUAUCAUUAACAAUAAACGACAACAUUUAUCAGUUUUAACGACAAUUAUAUUAAAAAGGACAAUUGUUGAAAAGUGCACCUCACUUUUACAUAAUUUUUGCGACUAGACGAGUACGAGGAAAUGACCGGAAUGCAUUUCGAACAUCAGAAAACAUUUUCGUACCCCCAAUCUGAGAUCGGAAAGAUGUUUAGGAAAAUUUUCUAGUGAGCGUGUGUGGUGUUUCCAAGUUUCCCCUUCACUCUCUCUCUAUGGAAACAACAAUCUAGAAAACAGAUUUUUUCGUUAAAUCCAACUUACUAUUAGAAGAGCUUUCAGCUUACUACACACGCUGCUCGUAACGCACUAUUAACGUAUAAUACCCCAAAUAUUCAGAUAAAUAAGCGUUUAUGUAAGCCA